CGGGUGAGUAAUACAUCGGAACGUGUCUUCUAGUGGGGGAUAACUGCCCGAAAGGGCAGCUAAUACCGCAUGAGACCUGAGGGUGAAAGCGGGGGAUCACAAGACCUCGCGCUGGAAGAGCGGCCGAUGUCCGAUUAGCUAGUUGGUGAGGUAAAGGCUCACCAAGGCGACGAUCGGUAGCUGGUCUGAGAGGACGACCAGCCACACUGGGACUGAGACACGGCCCAG
rnacentral:rRNA from 1 species